CCUACGGGAGGCAGCAGUGGGGAAUAUUGCACAAUGGGGGAAACUCUGAUGCAGCGACGCCGCGUGGGUGACGAAGUAUUUCGGUAUGUAAAGCCCUAUCAGCAGGGAAGAAAAUGACGGUACCUGAAGAAGAAGCUCCGGCUAACUACGUGCCAGCAGCCGCGGUAAUACGGAGGGGGCAAGCGUGAUCCGGAUUUACUGGGUGUAAAGGGGGCGCAGACGGCGAUGCAAGCCAGGAGUGAAAGCCCGGGGCCCAACGCCGGGACUGCUGUUGGAACUGGGUGGCUGGAGUGCAGGAGGGGCAGGCGGAAUUCCUGGUGUAGCGGUGAAAUGCGUAGAUAUCAGGAGGAACACCGGUGGCGAAGGCGGCCUGCUGGACUGCAACUGACGUUGAGGCCCGAAAGCGUGGGGAGCAAACAGGAUUAGAUACCCUGGUAGUC
rnacentral:rRNA from 1 species